GAUGAACGCUGGCGGCGUGCCUAAUACAUGCAAGUCGAGCGAACAGACGAGGAGCUUGCUCCUCUAACGUUAGCGGCGGACGGGUGAGUAACACGUGGAUAACCUACCUAUAAGACUGGGAUAACUUCGAGAAACCGGAGCUAAUACCGGAUAAUAUAUUGAACCGCAUGGUUCAAUAGUGAAAGACGGUUUUGCUGUCACUUAUAGAUGGAUCCGCGCCGCAUUAGCUAGUUGUGAAGGUAACAGCUUACCAAGGCAACGAUGCGUAGCCGACCUGAGAGGGUGAUAGGCCACACUGGAACUGAGACACGGACCAGACGACUACGGGAGGCAGCAGUAGGGAAUCUUCCGCAAUGGGCGAAAGCCUGACGGAGCAACGCCGCGUGAGUGAUGAAGGUCUUCGGAUCGUAAAACUCUGUUAUUAGUGAAGAACAAAUGUGUAAGUAACUAUGCACGUCUUGACGGUACCUAAUCAGAAAGCCACGGCUAACUACGUG
rnacentral:rRNA from 1 species